rnacentral:rRNA from 1 species
UAACGGGGAAUCAGGGUUCGAUUCCGGAGAGGGAGCCUGAGAAACGGCUACCACAUCCAAGGAAGGCAGCAGGCGCGCAAAUUACCCAAUCCAAACACUGGGAGGUAGUGACGAGAAAUACUGGGGGCGCUCCUAGAGAGCGCCAUCCGGAAUGAACGUAACAUAAAAAAUUCGAUGAGGAUCUACUGGAGGGCAAGUCUGGUGCCAGCAGCCGCGGUAAUUCCAGCUCCAGUAGUGUAUAUCAACAUUGUUGCGCUUAAAACGCUCGUAGUUGGAUUACAGGACCGCAAACAGCGCCUCAUUUAUGUGGUGUUGGUCGCAGCAUGCCUUUCAGCGGCACAAAUAGCGGGUGGGUUAUGCUCACGCGAACUAGUGCGUCCGUUGACGGGUAGCUCGAUGCAGUCCUUUUGUCGCACUGGUCCCAGGAGGCGCCUUUGAUGGCGUCGAAUGGACACCGGUGGAGUGUGCCUUGAAUAAAGCAUAGUGCUCAAUGCAAGCGGACGCUCGUGUGUAAUAGCAUGGAACGAAUAUUUUUGACCGGUCGUUGAGCGGGGUGUGUUUUGCACGCCAAGUCGGCGACUCGGUUCGAUCAGUGUUGGUUGGAACCACGGUCUCAACGGUUAAAAGGGACAUCUGAGGGCACUAGUACUUUGUGGCGAGAGGUGAAAUUCUUAGACCCACAAAAGACUGACUAWUGCGAAAGCAUUUGCCAAGAGUGUUUUCAUUAAUCAAGAACGAAGGUCAGAGGAUCGAAGACGAUCAGAUACCGUCCUAGUUUUGACAGAAAACAAUGCCAGCAUAGGGUCGGGGCGGUCACUCGUUGAUGCGAGUUGCACUACCUCGGUCCUUACGGGAAACUUAGCUUUCGGGCUGCUGGGAGAAUAUUGCUGCAAGGCUGAAAUUUAAAGAAAUUGACGGAGAGGCACCACCAGGAGUGGAGCCUGCGGCUUAAUUUGACUCAACACGGGGAAACUCACCAGGUCCAGACAUUGGUAGGAUUGACAGAUUGGUAGAUCUUUCAUGAUUCGGUGAAUGGUGGUGCAUGGCCGUUCUUAGUUGGUGGAGUGAUCUGUCAGGUUUAUUCCGGUAACGAUCGAGACCACGGCCUUUAGUUGGUGGUUGGAUGCGACUCGCUGUCUACCCGGCAGUUUGUGGCUCCUUUGGCCUAACUAGAGGGACCAUCGGUGAAAAGCCGGAGGAAGCGUGGCAAUAACAGGUCUGUGAUGCCCUUCGAUGUCCUGGGCUGCACGCGCGCUACAAUGGCAGCAGUAGAGAGUGUGCUGGCCAGAGAUGGUUGGCGAAUCUGUAAAUAGCUGUCGUGACAGGGAUUGAGCCUUGUAAUUAUUGCUCAUGAAAGAGGAAUUCCUCGUAAGCACGAGUCAUCAACUG